GGCUUAUUAUAAGAAGUCAUUUGAUUCCUCUUUGGUAUUAUGUGGCUGUUGAUGUCUUUGCAUAUAUAUACCAAGUUUCCAACACCUACAGUCAGCAGAACAACACUCAUGGAAACUACAAUAGCUCUGGGCCAUAGCACUUACAUGGAAAAAUGAGAGAAAAACAUGAAGAGGAAGACCAAAAGGCAACUUUGAACAAUAACAACAACAAUAAUAAUAAUAAUGAUG